ensembl:snRNA U6 U6 spliceosomal RNA
GUGCUCAAUUCAGCCACACAUACACUAACAUUGGAAUGAUACAGAGAAGAUUAGCAUGGCACCCGCGCAAGGACGAUAUGCAAAUUCGUGGUGCGUUCCAUAAUUUU